UACGUAGGGACCGAGCGUUGUCCGGAAUCAUUGGGCGUAAAGGGCGCGUAGGCGGCCUUCUAAGUCAGACGUGAAAUCCCCCGGCUUAACCUGGGAACUGCGUCUGAUACUGGGAGGCUUGAGUAUGGGAGAGGGAUGUAGAAUUCCAGGUGUAGCGGUGAAAUGCGUAGAUAUCUGGAGGAAUACCGGUGGCGAAGGCGGCAUCCUGGACCAUAACUGACGCUGAGGCGCGAAAGCUAGGGGAGCAAACGGG
rnacentral:rRNA from 1 species